AUUGAAACACAGGUCCCCGUACGAUCACCGAAGUUAAGCAACGUCAGUACCUAGAUGAGUGACCGCUUGGGAAUAGCAGGUGCUGUAA